UAACACGUGGGUAACCUGCCCAAGAGACUGGGAUAACACCUGGAAACAGAUGCUAAUACCGGAUAACAACACUAGACGCAUGUCUAGAGUUUAAAAGAUGGUUCUGCUAUCACUCUUGGAUGGACCUGCGGUGCAUUAGCUAGUUGGUAAGGUAACGGCUUACCAAGGCAAUGAUGCAUAGCCGGCCUGAGAGGGUGAACGGCCACAUUGGGACUGAGACACGGCCCAAACUCCUACGGGAGGCAGCAG
rnacentral:rRNA from 1 species